AUGGCCAUGAAAACAGAGCUCCUCCGUUUGCUACCUCUGCUGCUCCUGCUCCUUCCGUCUCCCCUCCGCGAUUACCUGUGGACUGAUGAAGCCGCCAGCUGCAGAGUCGGUCAAGGCCAGCUCCAAGUCUACCACCCGAUAAUCUUGUUCCCUGGCAUAAGUUGCCCCAACCUGGAAGCCCGGCUCACUGACGCCUACACCCCGUCGGUGCCGCGCUGCGGCGCACUCAAGGGGAAGGGAUGGUUCCCUCUCUGGAACAACACCUGGGACGUGCUCGACCAUGAUUACCUUCCGUGCUUACAGGAGCAGAUGAGCCCUGUGUACGACCCCAUCCUCAAUGACUUUCGGAACAGGCCUGGCGUCGAGACUCGCGUGCCGGACUUCGGCUCCUCCUACGGUUUCACCUCAAAGGGCGAAGUGGACGGACGUAACUUAUUUUGCAUGUCAAAACUCAUUCAAGAACUGGAGGCAGUAGGGUAUCGUGACCGCGAUACCCUUUUCGGAGCUCCUUAUGACUUACGGCAUGCUCCACCUUCACCCGGCCAGCCAUCUCAGGUGUACACCGACUACUUUGCCCGUGUCAAGGAUUUGGUGCAGCACGCAAGCGAAAAAAAUGGGAACAAGCCCAUCAUCCUCGUCGGGCACAGCUUCGGAGGAAAGGCAGCCCUUGACUUCGUCAAUUGGACUCCCUUUUCAUGGAGGAAAGAAUUCAUCAAACACAUGGUCCUAAUCGCGCCCACACCUCCUACUGGCUUUGUGCAGGUGCUCAUGAACCUCGUCUCGGGUCCGUCAGCCAUUCUUAUACCGACGGUAACGUCGCUAGAUUUGCGUCCAAUGUGGAGAACUUUCGCGAGUUCCCUUGUAUCCUUACCGUCUACUAGGGUUUUUGCUCACGAGCCGCUUGUAGUCACCAAACAUACGAACUACUCGGCGUAUGACUACAGAGAUUUGCUCAUGGCACUCGGUUUCGGCACUAACAUCAUAAAAUGGGUACUUCAUAUGAAGCAAAAGGUUGAUGCUCCAUUGGUGCCAACGACAUACCUCAAUGGUGUGGGUAUCCAAACAAUAAAUCAGGCAGUAUACCGGGAUAGUAACUUUGAUGUGGAGCCGGAGUAUGUAUAUGGCGAUGGUGACGAUAUCAUCAACUUAGUUAGCUUGUUGACAUUCGUGGAAGAAAUGAGAAGGCAGCAACAUCGGAGUAACAUACACUUCAAGUUCAUCAAGAUUGCUCAUACUAACCACUCUCACAUUCUAAUUCAGGAACGUUCACUCAAGAGAGUUAUGGCUGAAAUUCUAGAAGCUAAUUGCAGAAGAGACAUCAUGUCAUAG
rnacentral:rRNA from 1 species